rnacentral:misc_RNA from 1 species
CUGCUACAUACACAUUGAAAUGAACUAAGCAAAUAAAUCAACUUUUAAAAUUGAAAGAGAGUUAUUUAAAGUAGAUUUUGCAAUAGUUAAAAUUUCAUAAAUUUGUAAUCAUGGAAAAAGGAAUUAUGUUCAAUAUAAGCUUGAAGUUCAAAAUUGCUUCAUUCCUUUAUUGCCCUAAAGAAGUAAUACAAGUAAUGUAACAUAUUACAUAUAUUUUUCUCAAAAAUAAGUGAAACUGAA